ACGAACGCUGGCGGCGUGCUUAACACCUGCAAGUCGAACGGAAAGGCCCUGCUUUUGUGGGGUGCUGGAGUGGCGAACGGGUGAGUAACACGUGAGUAACCUGCCCUUGACUUUGGGAUAACUUCAGGAAACUGGGGCUAAUACCGGAUAGGAGCUCCUGCUGCAUGGUGGGGGUUGGAAAGUUUCGGCGGUUGGGGAUGGACUCGCGGCUUAUCAGCUUGUUGGUGGGGUAGUGGCUUACCAAGGCUUUGACGGGUAGCCGGCCUGAGAGGGUGACCGGCCACAUUGGGACUGAGAUACGGCCCAGACUCCUACGGGAGGCAGCAGUGGGGAAUAUUGCACAAUGGGCGGAAGCCUGAUGCAGCAACGCCGCGUGCGGGAUGACGGCCUUCGGGUUGUAAACCGCUUUCGCCUGUGACGAAGCGUGAGUGACGGUAAUGGGUAAAGAAGCACCGGCUAACUACGUG
rnacentral:rRNA from 1 species